AAACAGAUCAGUGUUUUACU
rnacentral:miRNA from 1 species